ensembl:miRNA
GAGGUGGGGGGCAUUGCUUGAGCCUGGGAGCUCAAGGUUGCAGUGAGCCAUGAUCAUACCACUGCACUCCAGCCUGAGUGACACAGCAAGACCUUGUCUCA